CCUACGGGGCGCAGCAGUGGGGAAUAUUGGGCAAUGGGCGCAAGCCUGACCCAGCAACGCCGCGUGAAGGAAGAAGGCCCUCGGGUUGUAAACUUCUUUUAUCAGGGACGAAACAAAUGACGGUACCUGAUGAAUAAGCCACGGCUAACUACGAGCCAGCAGCCGCGGUAAUACGUAGGUGGCAAGCGUUAUCCGGAUUUACUGGGUGUAAAGGGCGUGUAGGCGGGAGGGCAAGUCAGACGUGAGGUUCCAGGGCUCAACCCUGGAACUGCGUUUGGAAAUGUUCUUCUUGUG
rnacentral:rRNA from 1 species